rnacentral:rRNA from 1 species
UACGAAGGGGGCUAGCGUUGCUCGGAAUUACUGGGCGUAAAGCGCACGUAGGCGGCUUUCUAAGUCGGGGGUGAAAUCCUGGAGCUCAACUCCAGAACUGCCUUCGAUACUGGAGAGCUUGAGUCCGGGAGAGGUGAGUGGAACUGUGAGUGUAGAGGUGAAAUUCGUAGAUAUUCGCAAGAACACCAGUGGCGAAGGCGGCUCACUGGCCCGGUACUGACGCUGAGGUGCGAAAGCGUGGGGAGCAAACAGG